CUGGUCUUGAACUCCUGGCCUCAAGUGAUCCACCCGCCUCAGCAUCCAAAAGUGCUGGGAUUACAGGCAGGAGCACCGGCCUAAAUUUUUAGUGAUGUAACAGUUUUGAAUGUUAAUAUUAAAAUGCACAAAAUACUCAUCCUUUGCAUCUAUUUAAACUUAUAUUGUGUAAGUUAUCACGAGAAAGCUGUAGAAAUGAUCUUUACAAUGUGCAAGAGGAACAUAAAUUUUCAAAAUUCUUUUCAGAUUUAAGGGAAGAAGGUAUUUGACCCCACGACCAUAACGGGUGACCCUUGUGGUCAGAACUGAACACUAAAUGGAAGCUGCGCCCUCUUGUGGCCAUCGCGGAGGCUGCAGCAGAAAUGAGCAAGGAGUUCCAGAACGGAGGCAAUCAGGAGUCUUUAUUGUGUAUCUUGUGGGGGUUGGGGGGAGGCCUGGAGACAGCACUGUGACCUCCAAGUGACCACUGGGCCAAGCUCCAGGACAACAGGCUUCUCUUCAAGCCUAGGGAGCGCCUCCCUCCAGUAGCAGUGUGCGGUCAUUUACUGGACGUCUGGAAUUCUCAGAAUCACCCAGCCAUCACCAUCGCAAUACACGGCGUUUAUUGAGUGCUUACUUUGCACCAGGUACCAAGGAUUUUCCAGUUAUUUUCUCAUUUGAUCCUCAUAACAACCCAAUUAGAUAAGUACCAUUAUUAUCUCUAUUACCAAUGAAGAAAUUGUGGCUGAAGAUCCAGAGCCACUCUGAGGUUUCCCCCUUUUUUUUUUUUUUUUUUUUUUUGAGGC
rnacentral:lncRNA from 1 species